rnacentral:misc_RNA from 1 species
UCUCCGUUGGUGAACCAGCGGAGGGAUCAUUACCGAGUUUACAACUCCCAAACCCAAUGUGAACCCUACCAAACUGUUGCCUCGGCGGGGUGACGCCCCGGGCGCGUCGCAGCCCCGGAACCAGGCGCCCGCCGGAGGGACCAACCAAACUCUUUCUGUAGUCCCCUCGCGGACGUUAUUUCUUACAGCUCUGAGCAAAAAUUCAAAAUGAAUCAAAACGUUCAACAACGGAUCUCUUGGUUCUG